GAGAAGAACGUAGCGAAAUGCGAUACGUAAUGUGAAUUGCAGAAUUCAGUGAAUCAUCGAAUCUUUGAACGCAUAUUGCGCUCUCUGGUAUUCCGGAGAGCAUGCUUGUUUGAGUAUCAGUAAACACCUCAACUUCCAUAUCUUUUUUGAAAUGGGAGUUGGACUUGAGUGAUCCCAACGCUUUUCCUCACCGAAAAGUGGCGGGUUACUUGAAAUGCAGGUGCAGCUGGACUUUUCUCUGAGCUAUAAGCAUAUCUAUUUAGUCUGCCUAAAAAACAGAUUAUUACCUUUGCUGCAGCUAACAUAAAGGAGAUUAGUUCUUGUGCUGACUGAUGCAGGAUUCACAAAGACAGCUUCGGCCGACUUUGUAAACUCGAUCUCAAAUCAAGUAAGACUACCCGCUGAACUUAAGCAUAUCAAUAAGCGGAGGA
rnacentral:misc_RNA from 1 species